UACGUAGGUGGCAAGCGUUGUCCGGAUUUACUGGGCGUAAAGAGCGCGCAGGCGGUCGUUCAAGUCGCGUGUGAAAGCCCCCGGCUCAACUGGGGAGGGUCACGCGAUACUGAUCGACUCGAAGGCAGGAGAGGGAAGUGGAAUUCCCGGUGUAGUGGUGAAAUGCGUAGAUAUCGGGAGGAACACCAGUGGCGAAGGCGACUUCCUGGCCUGUUCUUGACGCUGAGGGACGAAAGCUAGGGGAGCGAAUGGG
rnacentral:rRNA from 1 species